rnacentral:rRNA from 1 species
UACGGAGGGUGCAAGCGUUAAUCGGAAUUACUGGGCGUAAAGCGCACGCAGGUGGCUGAGUCAGUCGAUUGUGAAAGCCCUGGGCUUAACCUGGGAAUUGCAGUCGAUACUACUCAGCUAGAGUAUGGGAGAGGGUAGUGGAAUUCCCGGUGUAGCGGUGAAAUGCGUAGAUAUCUGGAGGAACACCGGUGGCGAAGGCGGCAUUCUGGACUGUAACUGACACUGAGGAACGAAAGCCAGGGGAGCAAACGGG